AUUUUAGCUCAAAUAUGGGUAAAAGCUAGCAUGCAAAUGUUGGAAAGCAUAUUUACCCUUACAAAACUCCUUCAACACAACUUUUAACCAUCAAGGCACAAUAACUUGUAAGAUUAAAGUUCAAACAUUAGUGAAAGCUAUUAUGUAAAUGCUAAGGUUCCAGGCACUAGAUAACUGUUCGGAAUCUGUUUGGUAUCCGGAGACGCUAGAUAUUGGUGCACAUGAAUUGUUUCUGCGAUUGUUUAAAGAGAAGCUGCCUAAUCUCUAACAAGCCCACUGCUGCUGAUGAACAACUACAUAAAGACAAAACCAAUCGAACACUUCACACAUACGGGCUUUCUGUACCUAAGGAGGGGAGUGUUAAAAUUAUCAUAAUUGGGAUGAAGUAACAAGUUGCAAUGGUUUCAAUCUCCAUUUUACCAAUCUCUAUUACGUUAUGUGGCGGCAUAUCAAGGCGGUUAUUACUCCUAAAGAGGUUUUGUUUCGCGAUCCACUUGAUGAAAAUGUUAUUCCAGCUGUUGAGGACCUUUUCUCAGCAUCACAACGAUGAACAAAGGUUUGGCCUAGUGGUCUUUUUUCUUCAGUUGGUCAGCCAAGCAAUAUAGUGUUAGAUGGAUUCAAGGAUUGCGAUCAACUCAAGUAUGGGAUACAAAUUCUAAUUUUGGAAAAGGAACUUGGUGGGAUUAUUAAGUUUUGCUGAUUUGUUUUCUAAGAAUCUACCGGUUGUUUGGAGAUAUGUGGGAGGUUGAAAAAUGGGUUUGCUUGAGAUUUAGAGUUUUUUUUUUAUCUUUGGUUCUUGGCUGUUGUGUCUCUACUUGCUUUCGUUGAAUUGUUAUAUGACUUUCCAUAUCAUAUCUCAGUUGAUCAUGUGAAGAAUGCCAUAUAUUUGGUAAUUUGGAUCUUGAAUCGGAUGAAAUGCAAGAUUAACUUGCAAAAUUUUCCAAGUUUUUAAAUAAAGCAAGGACCAUGAUAUAUCCUCCAGUAAAGAAUUCUUUAAAAGUAGGUGGUAUUUUACCUGGAUUAGGGGAUAUUGUGGAUAAGGAACAUAAGAGACUUCUUGCUUGUAAAUCAAUUAUUGAGAAGAGAAAGGAACAACAAGAAUGUCAACUACAACGAGGGGAGUCGUCAAGGAGGCUGCAAUAACAGAAGAAAAGAGAAGAGACAGAGCAGAAGAAGCAUGCUUUUGAACUUGAGCGAAGGAAGAAGAACCAAAUGAUCCUUCAAGAAUUAUUAUAGGCAUUGCUAGAGGAGAGAAAAGGUAAGAGAGAAAUGCUUCACUAAUAUAAACUGCCUUUCAACAGCGAUUAGUGGAAGAGACGGCCCUUCAUCAACGUAAGCAGAAGCUAGAGACUGAACUGAGGAGACAACAUCAUGAUAGGGACCUCAAAGAGAAGAAUAGGUUGUCUCAGAUGCUUGAAAACAAGAUAAUUUUCCAAGAGCGGUAGGAGAGGUCAGAAAGAAUAGAUUAGAUCAUUCAUGCUCGGAAGCAAGAGAGGGAGGCCACGAGAUAGAAAUUUUAUUAUGUGAAGUGUGAAGAGGAGAGGCUGAGAAAGCUGCAUGGUAGGAAUUCCAGAAGCAUGAAGAGGCUGAGAGACUAAGGAAAGUAGAAGCUAAACACGCGACAAAAUUAGAUGAAAUUGCUGAGAAACAGAGGCAAAAAAAGAGGAGAUUAACUGACGCCUCUUCUAGAAGUAUUUUAAAACCAAUACUUUAAUUUUUUUAUUAGGCACUAGUAUAUUAGUGGCUAUUUCUCACUCGCAUGUGCUCUUUUCUUGGUGUAGAAUGGGCACUAUAUGAAUAGGCGACAAUUGCAGCUAUGGACUGCCAAUUUCUUGAUGUUGCAAAGGUAUUACAUUCAGUUGUUGCAGCUAAUUUCAUUGAAUAUGCAGAUGUGAAGCUUGUUUCCUCCAGAUCAACAAGUGUCUUCUGAAGCAGAAUUACCCUUUGAGUCUUGGUCAGCUAAAGGCUGUCAUUAAACCAUCCCUUAAUGAUCAUGACGAUCCCCAAUGUGAAGAGGAGAGGCUGAGAAAGCUGCAUGGUAGGAAUCCCAGAAGCAUGAAGAGGCUGAAAUGUUCAUUUUUUAUUAUUUUUCAGCUUCCACGCAGUAGUCUUUAAACAGAACACUUAUCAUAAUUAUUAGUUGAUGCUCAUAUAUAUGUUCUUGCAAAGAAUAAAUUCGAGUUUGAAACAAAUCCUUGACACCUAUUCAGAUCCCAAGUUUUAUGUUAUGUAUCAGGCAACCAAGAGGUAAAUGUCAAUUCUGAUUUCCAAUUUUUAAGAUAUAAGAAGCAGAAAGAUAAGUUUUUUCUCCCCUUUAGUUAAUUCUGACUGUAAUUUUAGUUACGAUUUUAUGGAAUUGCAUGAUUACUAUUAUAGUACUACGUACUUCAUACAUUUAGUGAUGAAGGGGAAGGAACAUGCAGCGGAGAGAGUGAGACUGACUCCCUCCCCGGAGGGGAGGAGGCUUUCCCGAAGCCAAAAGGGAGGUACCGUAAUAGUAAAUAAAAAAUAAAAAUUAAAAAUUAAAAGCAACAAUAAGAAACGACAGUUUCUCUUAUAGGAUUUGAAGUUUAGAGUUUUAUAUUUGCUCACUAUUAGUAUUACAUUAAUUUUGAAAUCUUUUUGAUGUCUGUAUUUACUGCUUUGAUAACAGGGGUUUUAAGAUAUUGUUCAGAGCAUAAGAUUAAACUAUUGAAGAUUGAUCAUUUAUGUCUUUCUCGCGUUUGCUCAGAGACAGUAGGUGGACUUCCCGAUUUUUUCCUAUGCCUUAACCGAAACUGAGUAUUGACUCCGGGCGGUUUGAAAAAUCUUUUCUUAAUUUUGUAGGAUGUCAUUAUCUUACAUUGUCUACUACAUACUAUAGUAGUUUGGUUAAUGGUUUUAAUCUUCACUUCAGGAACAAACACAAAUAUAAGUGCUCUUUCUUCUUUUUAAAUUUAAAUUAUAUACUUUGAUUUAUAAUUGUGAAGUUUGGUUUUAUCGUUAUUGAAUUGUAUGAUUAUUAUUUUUACCAAGUAAAAAAUUAACGAAUUUUAAAAAUAAUACGAUUGUUUUUACAAGUUAUGCAUAUUUUUCUUUUAAUUAAAUUAUGAAUGUUUUUUUUAAAUUUGCAUCCGCGGUUAUAUUAUUUGUACAACUAGGGUUAGGAAUAGGGUUUUGGUAUACUUAGGAUUAGGGUUUAUGUAUUAGGGUUAGGAUUAUGGUUUAAGGUUAGUAUGUUUAGGGUUAGGCUUUCAAUAUUAAGGUUUAGGGUUUAGUAUAUUUAGGAUUAGGUUUUAAGGUUUACUAUAUUUUAGGUUAGGAUUAGGGUUUCAGGGUUUAGGAUUAGGGUUAGUGUUAGUGUUAGGAUAAGGGUUUAGAAUUUAAGGUAUUAGCUAUUAGGGUUUUGUAUAUUUAGAAUUAGGGUUUAAGGUUUACUAUAUUAUGGGUUAGUAUUAGGGUUUAGGAUUAGGGUUAGUAUUAGUGUUAGGAUAAGGGUUUAGAAUUUAAGGUAUUAGCUAUUAUGUAUAUUUAGAAUUAGGGUUUAAGGUUUACUAUAUUUUAGGUUAGGAUUAGGGUUUUAGGGUUUAGGAUUAGGGUUAGUGUUAGUGUUAGGAUAAGGGUUUAGAAUUUAAGGUAUUAGCUAUUAGGGUUUUGUAUAUUAGGAUUAGGGUUUAGUAUAUUAGGAUUAGCUCCAGGUAAAUUUAACUUUUCCCAACCGCAAUCCCUCUUUUUGUGCAGUUAUUGCAUUUUAAUUAUUAGUGGCAAUUGAUAACUCGCAUGUGCUCAUUUGUUGGUGUAGAAUGGACACUAUUUGAAUAGGUGGCAAUUAGACUGUAGCUUGGUUUGAAAGUAUUCUUUUGUCUGUAUUGAAAUGAUAUCUUAAGUAGCAAGACAGAUGAUUAGUUGGAAAUGGAAUGCAUACCCUUGCAUAUUACAUUAUAUAUUCACAAUUUUAGUACUGAGCUCUAUUAGAUAGUUAUUUAUUUCAUUUUAUAUUUUGAAUUUAGCAAAUCUUGCCACAUUAUGAAAUGUUCAUUUUGUAUGUUUUUUGUUCAGCACUACAAGUCUUUAAACAACGGAAUUAUCAGAUUCUUUUAUGCUGCUUUAAUGUUCUUGCAAAGAUUUCUAGAAUAAAUAUGAGUUUGAAACAAAUCCUUGACACCUACAUGAACCAGCUGCAAUUCAGAUCUCAAGUUUUAUGUU